GUGGGGAAUAUUGGACAAUGGGCGAAAGCCUGAUCCAGCCAUGCCGCGUGUGUGAAGAAGGUCUUCGGAUUGUAAAGCACUUUAAGUUGGGAGGAAGGGCAGUAAGUUAAUACCUUGCUGUUUUGACGUUACCGACAGAAUAAGCACCGGCUAACUUCGUGCCAGCAGCCGCGGUAAUACGAAGGGUGCAAGCGUUAAUCGGAAUUACUGGGCGUAAAGCGCGCGUAGGUGGUUCAGUAAGUUGGAAGUGAAAUCCCCGGGCUCAACCUGGGAACUGCUUUCAAAACUGCUGAGCUAGAGUACGGUAGAGGGUGGUGGAAUUUCCUGUGUAGCGGUGAAAUGCGUAGAUAUAGGAAGGAACACCAGUGGCGAAGGCGACCACCUGGACUGAUACUGACACUGAGGUGCGAAAGCGUGGGGAGCAAACAGGAUUAGAUACCCCAGUAGUCC
rnacentral:rRNA from 1 species